UACGUAGGGACCAAGCGUUGUUCGGAUUUACUGGGCGUAAAGGGCGCGUAGGCGGCAAUUCAAGUCAUCUGUGAAAUCUCCGGGCUUAACUCGGAACGGUCAGAUGAUACUGCUUUGCUAGAGUGCGGAAGGGGCAAUCGGAAUUCUUGGUGUAGCGGUGAAAUGCGUAGAUAUCAAGAGGAACGCCUGAGGUGAAGACGGGUUGCUGGGCCGACACUGACGCUGAGUGCGCGAAAGCCAGGGGAGCAAACGGG
rnacentral:rRNA from 1 species